rnacentral:rRNA from 1 species
CAUGCCGUAAACGUUGGGUGCUAGACGUGGGGGCCUUUCCACGGUUUCCGUGUCGUAGCUAACGCAUUAAGCACCCCGCCUGGGGAGUACGGCCGCAAGGCUAAAACUCAAAGGAAUUGACGGGGGCCCGCACAAGCGGCGGAGCAUGCGGAUUAAUUCGAUGCAACGCGAAGAACCGUACCAAGGCUUGACAUAUAGAGGAAACGGCCAGAGAUGGUCGCCCCGCAAGGUAUAUAUACAGGUGG